GUGGGGAAUUUUGGACAAUGGGCGCAAGCCUGAUCCAGCAAUGCCGCGUGCAGGAAGAAGGCCUUCGGGUUGUAAACUGCUUUUGUACGGAACGAAACGGUCCUGGCUAAUAUCCGGGGCUAAUGACGGUACCGUAAGAAUAAGCACCGGCUAACUACGUGCCAGCAGCCGCGGUAAUACGUAGGGUGCGAGCGUUAAUCGGAAUUACUGGGCGUAAAGCGUGCGCAGGCGGUGCUGUAAGACAGGCGUGAAAUCCCCGGGCUCAACCUGGGAAUUGCGCUUGUGACUGCAGUGCUGGAGUGCGGCAGAGGGGGAUGGAAGUCCGCGUGUAGCAGUGAAAUGCGUAGAUAUGCGGAGGAACACCGAUGGCGAAGGCAAUCCCCUGGGCCUGCACUGACGCUCAUGCACGAAAGCGUGGGGAGCAAACAGGAUUAGAAACCCGGGUAGUCC
rnacentral:rRNA from 1 species